rnacentral:rRNA from 1 species
UACGUAGGGGGCUAGCGUUGUCCGGAAUCAUUGGGCGUAAAGAGCGUGUAGGCGGUCCGGUAAGUCCGCUGUGAAAGUCGGGGGCUCAACCCUCGAAUGCCGGUGGAUACUGUCGGGCUAGAGUGCGGAAGAGGCGAGUGGAAUUCCUGGUGUAGCGGUGAAAUGCGCAGAUAUCAGGAGGAACACCGGUGGCGAAGGCGGGUCUCUGGGCCGAUACUGACGCUGAGGCGCGAAAGCUAGGGGAGCGAACAGG